GUCCCUGAGAGGCGUCAGCAUCGGUUGCAUUGAGGCAAAUGCUUUCAGUAGGCUCUACAAUCUCCAAAUGCUGUGCCAACUUAGCCUACCCACUGAAUUUCUGCCCGCAUCAUAAGUUAAUCAUACUGGUCCUGGUUGUGCCAGCAUCAAUUACACCAUCCCCUAACUCGGUGGCUCAGAUGGACAUGAACGAUGUACGAAGGGGCGCCACAAUGUUGAGGACACAACAGCUUCUGACAGCAGACUGCA